rnacentral:rRNA from 1 species
CCUACGGUGGGCAGCAGUGGGGAAUAUUGCGCAAUGGGCGAAAGCCUGACGCAGCGACGCCGCGUGAGGGAUGAAGGUCUUCGGAGCGUAAACCUCUGUCAGCAGGGAAGAACGGUCACGGGGCUAAUCAGCAGUGAAUUGACGGUACCUGCAAAGGAAGCACCGGCUAACUCCGUGCCAGCAGCCGCGGUAAUACGGAGGGUGCGAGCGUUAAUCGGCAUUACUGGGCGUAAAGCUCUCGUAGGCGGUAUGGCAAGUCAAGGGUGCACUCCCCGCGCUCACCUUGGGAACUGCCUUUGAAACUUGCAACCUGGAGUGUGUGAGAGUCUAGUGGAAUUCCAGGUGUAGGGGU